GAUGAACGCUGGCGGCGUGCCUAAUACAUGCAAGUCGAGCGAACAGACUAGGAGCUUUCUCCUCUGACGUUAGCGGCUGACGGGUGAGUAACACGUGGAUAACCUACCUAUAAGACUUGGAUAACUUCGGGAAACCGGAGCUAAUACCGGAUAAUAUAUUUAACCGCAUUGUUCAAUAGUGAAAUACGGUUUUGCUGUCACUUAUAGAUGGAUCCGCGCCGCAUUAGCUAGUUGGUAAGGUAACGGCUUACCAAGGCAACGAUUCGUAGCCGACCUGAGAUGAUAGUAGGAGAAACUGCAACUGAGACACGGACCAGGUUCCUACGGGAGGCAGCAGUAGGGAAUCUUCCGCAAUGAGCGACAGCUUGACGGAGUAACGCCGCAUGAGUCAUAAGGGUCUUAGCAUAGUAAAACUCUGUUAUUAGGGAAGAACCAAUGUGUAAGUAAGUAUGCACGUCUUGAAGGUACUUAAUCAGAGAGCCAAGGCUAACUACGUG
rnacentral:rRNA from 1 species